UACGUAGGGGGCUAGCGUUGUCCGGAAUCAUUGGGCGUAAAGCGCGCGUAGGCGGCCCGGUAAGUCCGCUGUAAAAGUCAAAGGCUCAACCUUUGAAUGUCAGUGGAUACUGCCGGGCUAGAGUCCGGAAGAGGCGAGUGGAACUCCUGGUGUAGCGGUGGAAUGCGUAGAGAUCGGAAAGAACACCAACGGCGAAAGCACUCUGCUGGGCCGACACUGACACUGAGAGACGAAAGCUAGGGGAGCGAAUGGG
rnacentral:rRNA from 1 species